AACCCUUAUGACAAAACCUAAAGGGUUACUGAGCAUGCGCAGUUAGAGGUACCAUCCCCCCUUAGCUCUAGUGGCGCAUGCGCUGACGUUCGCGGUAGGUGGGGGGAAAGCGCCGUCGCCGUGGCAGCGGAAGGGAGACGGGCCUGUUGAUUGGGAUGGCUAUGGAGGCCCUGGGGGAGGCCGGCCUGCACUUUGACGAGCUCAACAAACUGAGGGUCCUGGAUCCUGAAGUGGCUCAGAAUACAACCGAGCUGAAGGAGGAGUGCAAGGACUUUGUAGAAAAAAUAGGCCAGUUCCAGAAAAUUGUUGGUGGUUUAAUUGAGAUAGUCGAUCAACUCGCUAAAGAAGCUGAGAAUGAAAAGAUGAAGGCUAUUGGUGCUCGAAAUCUUCUGAAAUCAGUUGCUAAGCAAAGAGAAGCCCAACAGCAGCAGCUCCAAGCUUUAAUAGCUGAAAAGAAAAUGCAGCUUGAAAGAAUUGCUGUACUAUUCCGGUGCCAAAGGGAUGCCCAUUCCCCAGUUUCUGGCCAACUCUCUCAAACAGAUUGCUAUGAAGUGCUGGCAGAAGGUGGUAUGUGACUUCCACCAACCUAAAUUUCUUUUACUGCCUUCAAUUUGAACAGACGUGAGGAGUUACAGCAAGCUGAGGUACCGGAUAGAGUACGAUGCACUGUCAAAAGUAGAAGCUGAACAAAAUGAGUUCAUUGAUCAGUUCAUUCUACAGAAAUGACAUGGAAAGGAAAGACACUAAUGAAAAAACAUUUUGGCUGUAAUGAUGCAGUGAAGUUUGCAGUGAUUAUUCCAUUGUGAUACAUUCCAUCAAAAGUGCUUUCAAAUAAGGUGUAAUUUUGCAUUGCCUUUUCAUAUUUAAUAUAUAUCAAGCUAUUAUUUCUAUAAUACAGGUUUGUAUGUGGUUUAUUUGAACUACAACUUACAGUGCACAAUUUUAAUACCUACUUUUUUAGGAUGAUUUUCCUGAAGCAUCAGAACACAAUCAUUUCACAUGUAAAUAUUUUGUUAGCCCAAAUUAUUUUAUAUAUCUUAUGUUAUUGUUCAUAAUAGUUCCUUCAACUUGUGACAGCGUGGUCUACACACUUUUCAGAGUGUCCUUUUGCCAGCAUUAAUAAAAUUGAUGUUUGAAACUGUGCCUUACCCAUCGCAGCCGUUUCUGGUGUCACUGUGCACUGUAUGGUUGCCUAUGAAAUAAGGAGUGCUGUGGAAAGCAAACUUGCAGCAAAACUAGCCAGAACAGUGGCUUGACCUGCUACCCUCAGCAGGAAAUUUAGACAACAUUUGGCACUGGGCUGUGAAUCAGUUGACCUCUCAGCCUCUUUGUUUAAAUGAGCAACAUGGUUUCACUAUUGCUAGUUUAUCUGGACCUACCUCCUCCUUUCCCACUCCUCAGCACUGCAGAAGUUCUGUGGCUAUAUUCACAAAUAGGGAAAGUGAUUUUAUGAUAACUUCACAAAGGUGUGAGAUGUGUACACAUUCUGCCCCUUGUUACUGAAUUGUCUUAGUAUAAAAGGAGCAGUACAGUGAAAACCAGCACUGCAUGUAUAUCCCUUUAUUAUUGAACCACUUCCACUCAACGUAGUUCACUCCAGGUGCUGGAUCUGCCUCGGUGUGGUAAAUUCUUGGAAACAUCCCACUUACAAAGAACAGGAGUAAAUUUGAUCAAUUCCUCUCAUGAUUAGCCACAAACAUGUAGGUUUGAGGAUCAUAUUAUUCUGAAUGAAAAUUCAGUCUCUUUUAUCAAGGUAAGUUAUUGGGAUAACUACUUCACAGCAAUCUAAGUUCACUUUUGAUUACCUGUUACACUAAUGCAUAUUUAAUACAUAAUAAUGCUCCUCUACCUAAAAUAUACUGAAUAGAUUUUGUUUGAGUUUAACCCAGUGGAAACACAGUCCAAGUGACCAUUUCAAUUGAUAUUUAUAUAAAUUCAAUGAGGUAUACUGUGCUCACAAACUAAGCUAAGCAUCAUCCUCACCUAGGGACCAAAGUAUUUCAACGGAAUUUUAUUUAGCUGUGAUUAUAUGCUACAAUAGUAUUUGAGAUUAAUAUGAACACAAAUGUGAAUUUUUCAGUAUUUCUCCAAUCGUAUUACACACUGCAGCUUUACUUGUGGUUGAACAGCUUGCAGCCCAUUAAAAUGUCUGCUUCUGA